GAAGGUAUAGCUCAGUGGUAGAGUGUGUGCUUAGUAUGCACAAGGUCCUGGGUUCAAUCCCCAGUACCUCUA
rnacentral:tRNA from 1 species